GUGCCAGCAGCCGCGGUAAUACGUAGGUGGCAAGCGUUGUCCGGAUUUACUGGGCGUAAAGGGUGUGUAGGCGGAUAUUUAUGUGAGAUGUGAAAUCCCCGGGCUUAACUUGGGGGCUGCAUUUCAAACUGGAUGUCUUGAGUGCAGGAGAGGAAAGCAGAAUUCCUAGUGUAGCGGUGAAAUGCGUAGAGAUUGGGAAGAAUACCAGUGGCGAAGGCGGCUUUAUGGACUG
rnacentral:rRNA from 1 species